rnacentral:rRNA from 1 species
GACGAACGCUGGCGGCGUGCUUAACACAUGCAAGUCGAACGGAAAGGCCCUGCUUUUGUGGGGUGCUCGAGUGGCGAACGGGUGAGUAACACGUGUGUAACCUGCCCUUGACUUUGGGAUAACUUCAGGAAACUGGGGCUAAUACCGGAUAGGAUCUCCUGCUGCAUGGUGGGGGUUGGAAAGUUUCGGCGGUUGGGGAUGGACUCGCGGCUUAUCAGCUUGUUGGUGGGGUUGUGGCUUACCAAGGCUUUGACGGGUAGGCGACCUGAGAGGGUGACCGGACAAAGGGGGAAUGAGAGACGGCAGAGAAGAAUAGGGGAGGAAGGAGUGGGGAAGAGUGCAAAAAGGGGGGAAGAGGGAUGAAGAAACGCCGAGUGGGGGAUGAGGGAAGUCGGGGUGAAAAAAGAUUUAGGAUGUGACGAAGAGUGAGAGAGGGAAAUGGGAAAAGAAGAAGCGGAUAAAUACG